AGGACGAACGCUGGCGGCGUGCUUAACACAUGCAAGUCGAACGGAAAGGCCCGCUUGCGGGUACUCGAGUGGCGAACGGGUGAGUAACACGUGGGCAACCUGCCCUCAGCUUCGGGAUAACUCUCGGAAACGGGUGCUAAUACCGAAUAUUGACAUUUCCUCGCAUGGGGUUGUGUUGAAAGUUUUUCGGCUGGGGAUGGGCCCGCGGCCUAUCAGCUUGUUGGUGGGGUGAUGGCCUACCAAGGCGACGACGGGUAGCCGGCCUGAGAGGGCGAUCGGCCACACUGGAACUGAGACACGGUCCAGACUCCUACGGGAGGCAGCAGUGGGGAAUAUUGCGCAAUGGGCGGAAGCCUGACGCAGCGACGCCGCGUGAGGGAUGAAGGUCUUCGGAUUGUAAACCUCUUUCAGUAGGGACGAAUUUAGACGGUACCUGCAGAAGAAGCACCGGCCAACUACGUGCCAGCAGCCGC
rnacentral:rRNA from 1 species